ensembl:lncRNA
AUGUUACAUGGUGAAACCUUCAAUUUCUUAAGCCAUAAGAAAAGUAGGUCAAAUAGUGAGGCUCCAGACCACCCAGCUAUUCUGAACUGGAUGCCAUUUGCAAGAACAACUAACAAUGGGCAUUCUGUGUUUACACUCUGCCUUGACUUCAGUCGUCAAGGUCCAGAACAAAUGCCCCCAAGUCUGUCUCUUAAGAUAUCACAGUUAUAUAAUGAGACAUUUGGCAUUUGAAAAUUAAAGAUGCAAAAGGCUUAAAUACUUACACAUUUUUGAAAAUAGAGUAUGCUUUCUCUCUUAAUUAAACAAAACUAAAGUCACGGCCCAGGACACAUUAAGAUUUGUCCAGAAGUCUCCUGUUGUUGCUUCGGCUUUAGCUCUUCGAAGAAAGAUAAGAGUAUUCAACUUGUAACAGUGUAAGUACACAAUUAACAGAUUAUAAAUGAAGAUCUAAUGUGAUAUAAUUUAAAAUUUCUAUAAUUCAAUCAAAACUUCCCUAUCCUACCCAGUUGCUUCACAAUAUGCCCUCUUUCACCAUACUUUGCACAUUCUAACUAUUUCAACCCAGGUGUUUGUUCAUGGUGUACACUUACUUAAAUUCU